rnacentral:lncRNA from 10 species
UUUAUCUCAGUUUGUCUUUCUACUCCUUUCUCUAUCUCUGUCUAACAAUCUCUAGAUCAAAUCUCUCCAAAGCUAUCAGCUUGGUUUUUGAUAUGAAACUUAUUUUAAAUUGCAAAUAGGAGACUGAAGGAAAUUAAAAUAUUUUACCCCCAAAUAUAUUUAUUUGAUGUAUUUUGAAAUGGCUGCCUCUUGGCCAUCCUAUUAGAGGUGGCAUUGCAAAACUAUCUUAAGUGGGGAAAAUUUGCAUCUGCAGAGAAUCUCCCUUAAUGCAGCCAUGCCUCCCUCCCCUUCCUAUUCCUUUCCCUGGGUCCAGGAGAGACUGACAGUCUGACAUCUUUUAAAGUCUGAAAGGAAACAUUUACCAUCUGUUUCCUCUGAAGGGGGCUUCCUCCACAUAACAAGGCCAUCUUUGCUAGCCAAACUUCUUCUUUUCUCUCUUAACACCUCUUGCCACUGAAGCUGAUUUAGCUGUUUCUGGCAAUCCUCUGAGUGUGCUUUCUUUACAGUGGCCUCAGGAUGGUAUGUAAGUGUCUGUAACUCAUUGGGAUGUUGGGUCUUCAUUCUGAAGGCUCCCUUCUAUAUAUUGUUAAAUAAAUUUGUAUGCCCUUUCUUUCAUUAAUCAAUCUGCCUCCUGUCAGUGAUUUUUUAGCAGUCAUUUAGGGGGCCAAGAACAUUUGGCCCUCAUGCCUUUUUAAUUUAUUUCCUUUCAUUUUUCAGAAUGAACUGCUUUCCUUAGUUCCUGGAACAUCUGUGGUACUCCAUAAAUAUUUCUAGGACAAACCUUGGCAACCACCAUUCUACUCUCUACGUCUGUGAAUUGGACUAUUUCAGAUUCCUCAUGUUUGUGAAAUUUGGUGAAUGAGUGUGCAGUUAUGGAGACAAUAUUGAAGACAUUAAGUAGUAUUUCUGCAACUUCUCUUGCUAUAAAACAUCACAGGAGGAGGUUCCAAGAUGGCCGAAUAGGAGUAGCUCCAGUCUACAGCUCCCAGCAUGAGCAACGCAGAAGAUGGGUGAUUUCUGUCUUUCCAACUGAGGUACAAG